rnacentral:rRNA from 1 species
UACGUAGGGGGCAAGCGUUGUUCGGAAUUAUUGGGCGUAAAGAGCUUGUAGGCGGUUUGUCGCGUCUGCUGUGAAAAUCCGGGGCUCAACCCCGGACUUGCAGUGGGUACGGGCAGACUAGAGUGUGGUAGGGGAGACUGGAAUUCCUGGUGUAGCGGUGAAAUGCGCAGAUAUCAGGAGGAACACCGAUGGCGAAGGCAGGUCUCUGGGCCACUACUGACGCUGAGAAGCGAAAGCAUGGGGAGCGAACAGG